UACAGAGGGGGCAAGCGUUGUUCGGAAUUACUGGGCGUAAAGGGCGCGUAGGCGGCCUUCUAAGUCGAACGUGAAAUCCCCGGGCUCAACCCGGGAACUGCGUCCGAUACUGGAAGGCUUGAAUCCGGGAGAGGGAUGCGGAAUUCCAGGUGUAGCGGUGAAAUGCGUAGAUAUCGGGAGGAACACCUGCGAUGUAGAUGGCUUACUGGACCGUAACUGACGCUGAGGCACGAAAGCGUGGGUAGCAAACAGG
rnacentral:rRNA from 1 species